rnacentral:antisense_RNA from 1 species
CUUGAGCGAGCCCAGCAGCAGCGGCCGGCCCGCCGGGCGGUCCUGGCCAUAGACCGCGAGCAGGGCCCCCGCCUC